CUGGUUCGGAAAUGUGCUUUUGACUGGAGAAGAAGACUCAUUCGUGGUACUGGAUGGACUACCUGAACCACAGGCAGAGAUGGAAUCACUGGACCUUCUAUGAAGACACAAGUGACAGGAACAAGAAGUAGCAGCUCUGAAGAGUCUCUGCAGUAAACAGGUAGACGUUCUGUAAACCUAAAGGAGAACUUCCUCCAGCAGCAGAACAUAACACUUAGGUCAGUCACCUUCUUCUUCUUCUUUGGCUUCUUUUCCAACUUCCUCCUCUACACAAACUCCCCUUUGAUCUUUAAUCAAUGUUUUGAUUCAUAUUUAGCUUGAACUCAGAUGAGCUAACAGCUAACACCAAAUGCUAGGGCUGCUUAACUAUGGCAAAAACCAUAAUUAAGAUUAUUUUGAUUCAUUUUAAAAGAUUUCAGUUUUUCAAAACGAUUAUUCAUUGACUUGAAAAUGAGCUUUUAUUGAACUGAAGUUGACAAAAAA